rnacentral:misc_RNA from 1 species
CAUUACCGAGUUUACAACUCCCAAACCCAAUGUGAACCAUACCAAACUGUUGCCUCGGCGGGGUCACGCCCCGGGUGCGUCGCAGCCCCGGAACCAGGCGCCCGCCGGAGGGACCAACCAAACUCUUUCUGUAGUCCCCUCGCGGACGUUAUUUCUUACAGCUCUGAGCAAAAAUUCAAAAUGAAUCAAAACUUUCAACAACGGAUCUCUUGGUUCUGGCAUCGAUGAAGAACGCAGCGAAAUGCGAUAAGUAAUGUGAAUUGCAGAAUUCAGUGAAUCAUCGAAUCUUUGAACGCACAUUGCGCCCGCCAGUAUUCUGGCGGGCAUGCCUGUCCGAGCGUCAUUUCAACCCUCGAACCCCUCCGGGGGGUCGGCGUUGGGGAUCGGGAACCCCUAAGACGGGAUCCCGGCCCCGAAAUACAGUGGCGGUCUCGCCGCAGCCUCUCCUGCGCAGUAGUUUGCACAACUCGCACCGGGAGCGCGGCGCGUCCACGUCCGUAAAACACCCAACUUCUGAAAUGUUGACCUCGGAUCAGGUAGGAAUACCCCG